GCUCUUGGUGGCUCCCAAUGGCUCCCAAUGGCUCCCAGUAGCUCCCAGUAUCCCCUCUUAGCUCUUAGUGGCUCUUGGUGGCUCUCAAUGGCUCCCAAUGGCUCCCACUACCUCUGAGUGGCCGAGUGGGGGGUGGGAGAGCACCCUAACACUCCAUGCUUCCUGCAGCCAUCAUCCCAGCAUCUCACGUUGGGUUUGGGGGCACCUCUUGGGACCAGGUCUCAUCCUUCCCCCCCCCACCAUGGCCCCGUCCUGCUGCAGGGAGAGCAAUAACAGUUCCAGGCAGAACAUCAGUGCCUUUCUUUGAGUUUGGAAGUGAUUGCUUCUCGUUCCAGCUCGGGAAUCACUUUUGGAGUCACUUUUCAUCUCCAGAUACUCAGAAGCAAAGUGAAAGAGAGCCCAGAAGGAUCCCGUGCCAUCAUCAGAGUAAUUUUCAAGUACCCCGUUGUGGUUCCCAGUGCCUUAUUGCCACCCUGGAUCCAACAAGAGGUAUCGUGGUUCAUCUCACUCUUCUCCUCCUCUGCCUCCCUCCCCGGGACUCACUCACAGAAUCCCCCAUCUUGGGGGUGGUACCCCAUACCCUCGGGGUGCUCACAUCGUCCCCAUGUCCCCAAAGUGCUCACCCCAUCCCUAUGUCCCCAGAAUGCUCACAGCAUCACCCAUCCUGGGGUGCUCACACCAUCCCCAUGUCCCCAAGGUCCUCACACCAUCGCCCAUCUUGGGGUGCUCACACCAUCCCCAUGAUCCUGGGGUGCUCACAUCACCCCCAUGUCCCCGAAUGCUCACACCAUCCCCUAUCUUGGGGUGCUCACAUCAUCCCCAUGUCCCCAAGGUCCUCACACCAUCACCCAUCUCGGGGUCCUCACACCAUCCCCAUGAUCUUGGGGUGCUCACAUCACCCCCAUGUCCCCAGGAUGCUCACAGCAUCAUCCAUCUUGGGGUGCUCACACCAUCCCCAUGAUCUGGGGGUGCUCAUACCAUCACCAUUCUUGGGGUGCUCACACCAUUGCCCAUCUCGGGGUGCUCACACCAUCCCCAUGUUCUUGGGUUGCUCACACCAUCCCCAUGAUCUUGGGGUGCUCAUACCAUCACCAUUCUUGGGGUGCUCACAUUAUCCCCAUGUUCUUGGGGUGCUCACAUCACCCUCAUGUCCCCAGGAUGCUCACAGCAUCAUCCAUCUUGGGGUCCUCAAACCAUCCCCAUGUCCCCAAGGUCCUCAAACCAUCACCCAUCUCGGGGUGCUCACAUCACCCCCAUGUCCCCAAAUGCUCACACAAUCCCCCAUCUUGGGGUGCUCAUACCAUCCCCAUGUCCUUGGGGUGCUCAUACCAUCACCAUUCUUGGGGUGCUCACAUCACCCCCAUGUCCCCAAGGUGCUCACCCCAUCCUGCAUCUUGGGGUACUCACACCAUCACCCAUCUCGGGGUGCUCACACCAUCCCCAUGUUCUUGGGGUGCUCACACCACCCCCAUGUCCCCGAAUGCUCACCCCAUCCCCCAUCUUGGGGUGCCCACCCCAUCCCCAUGCCCCCAUUGCCCCUCCCCGGAGAAUCCAGUGAUGCCUCGUCGUGUGCUCGAACAGAAGCAGUGUUUAAUAGGAAAUAUUUAAUUGCUAUUUAAUUUGUAAUUUAAAAACCUCAUUUGUCCAUACAGCCUGUAAAUAUUUCCCCCCCUCGAAUAUAAGUAUUCCUCAUCCGAAUCCUGAUUUUUGUAAUGAAAAGAUUAUUGUUGUUAUUGUUGCUAUUAUUGUUAUUGUUAUUAUUAUUAUUAAUUAGAGCAGAGGGAAAAUAAUGCUGGGAAGCUGCUGGAGUUUGGCAUCAGAGCCUGCUGUGAUGGGGCUGUGAUGGGAUGGAGCGCCACGAUGGGAUGGAAGUGGGAUGGAGAGGAGCUCUGCAGUGGGCUGAUGCUGUACUGGGAUGGAGCUCCGUACUGGGAUGGAACUGGGAUGGAGAGGGGCUGUGCUGGGGUGGGUAUCUGUGUUGGGACUGCACUCAUGAUGGGAUGGAGCUGUGCUGAGAUGGGACAGAAAUGGGAUGGGAUGGAGCUCCAUGGUGGGAUGGAAAUGGCAUGGAGAGGAGCUCUGUAGUGGGAGUUCUGCUGUGCUGGGAUGUGAUGGAGCCAUACUGGGAUGGGAUGGAUCCAUACUGGGAUGGGAUGGAGCCAUACUGGGACGGGAUGAAGCCAUACUGGCAUGGAUCCAUAUGGGGAUGUGAUGGAUCCAUACUGGGAUGUGAUGGACCCGUACUGGGAUGGGAUGGAGCCAUACUGGGAUGGGAUGGAUCCAUACUGGGAUGGGAUGGAUCCAUUCUGGGAUGGGAUGGAGCCAUAUGGGGAUGUGAUGGAGCCAUACUGGGAUGUGAUGGAUCCAUACUGGGAUGGGACGGAUCCCUACUGGGAUGGGAUGGAGCCAUACUGGGAUGGGACGGAUCCAUACUGGGAUUGGAAGGAGCCAUACUGGGACGGGAUGGAUCCA
ensembl:lncRNA